rnacentral:rRNA from 1 species
GGUUGUAAUCGUCUUGUUAUCAACUCUGACAAUAUGGAAGUGAUUGACACAAUGAAGAAUGGAGGACACUCUGCAGGAGCGGCAGCAGCAAUUUUUGAUGACUGUUUUUUUAUAGCUUGUGAUUUUCCUCUUACUAGUUUUGAACAUUGUAAUAGGAAAGCGAACAAGGUAGCGCAUGAGUUGGCUCGACUAGCAAAAUAGUUCGUGACGAGGGAUUGGAUUGAGGAGCCUAUGGGAAAUAUUGUAUCUCUACUUAUAGACGAUGUAACCAUUAUUUCUAAUUAA